rnacentral:rRNA from 1 species
AUUGAACGCUGGCGGCAGGCCUAACACAUGCAAGUCGAGCGGCAGCGGGAAAGUAGCUUGCUACUUUUGCCGGCGAGCGGCGGACAGGUGAGUAAUGCCUGGGAAAUUGCCCAGUCGAGGGGGAUAACAGUUGGAAACGACUGCUAAUACCGCAUACGCCCUACGGGGGAAAGCAGGGGACCUUCGGGCCUUGCGCGAUUGGAUAUGCCCAGGUGGGAUUAGCUAGUUGGUGAGGUAAUGGCUCACCAAGGCGACGAUCCCUAGCUGGUCUGGGAGGAGGAUCAGCCACACUGGAACUGAGACACGGUCCAGACUCCUACGGGAGGCAGCAGUGGGGAAUAUUGCACAAUGGGGGAAACCCUGAUGCAGCCAUGCCGCGUGUGUGAAGAAGGCCUUCGGGUUGUAAAGCACUUUCAGCGAGGAGGAAAGGUCAGUAGCUAAUAUCUGCUGGCUGUGACGUUACUCGCAGAAGAAGCACCGGCUAACUCCGUGCCAGCCGCCGCCGUAACAC